GACGAACGCUGGCGGCGUGCCUAAUACAUGCAAGUCGAGCGAAUGGAUGGGAGCUUGCUCCCUGAAGUUAGCGGCGGACGGGUGAGUAACACGUGGGCAACCUGCCUAUAAGACUGGGAUAACUUCGGGAAACCGGAGCUAAUACCAGAUAAUUCAUAUCUACUCAUGUAGGUGUGCUGAAAGACGUUUUACGCUGUCACUUAUAGAUGGGCCUGCGGCGCAUUAGCUAGUUGGUGAGGUAACGGCUCACCAAGGCGACGAUGCGUAGCCGAACUGAGAGGGUGAUCGGCCACACUGGGACUGAGACACGGCCCAGACUCCUACGGGAGGCAGCAGUAGGGAAUCUUCCGCAAUGGACGAAAGUCUGACGGAGCAACGCCGCGUGAGUGAUGAAGGUUUUCGGAUCGUAAAACUCUGUUGUUAGGGAAGAACAAGUACUAGAGUAACUGCUAGUACCUUGACGGUACCUAACCAGAAAGCCACGGCUAACUACGUGCCAGCAGCCGCCGUAA
rnacentral:rRNA from 1 species